rnacentral:rRNA from 1 species
UUUUCUCAGCUCAGGACGAACGCUGGCGGCGUGCCUAAUACAUGCAAGUCGAGCGAACAGAAGGGAGCUUGCUCCCGGAUGUUAGCGGCGGACGGGUGAGUAACACGUGGGUAACCUGCCUGUAAGACUGGGAUAACUCCGGGAAACCGGAGCUAAUACCGGAUAGUUCCUUGAACCGCAUGGUUCAAGGAUGAAAGACGGUUUCGGCUGUCACUUACAGAUGGACCCGCGGCGCAUUAGCUAGUUGGUGGGGUAAUGGCUCACCAAGGCGACGAUGCGUAGCCGACCUGAGAGGGUGAUCGGCCACACUGGGACUGAGACACGGCCCAGACUCCUACGGGAGGCAGCAGUAGGGAAUCUUCCGCAAUGGACGAAAGUCUGACGGAGCAACGCCGCGUGAGUGAUGAAGGUUUUCGGAUCGUAAAGCUCUGUUGUUAGGGAAGAACAAGUGCGAGAGUAACUGCUCGCACCUUGACGGUACCUAACCAGAAAGCCACGGCUAACUACGUGCCAGCAGCCGCGGUAAUACGUAGGUGGCAAGCGUUGUCCGGAAUUAUUGGGCGUAAAGGGCUCGCAGGCGGUUUCUUAAGUCUGAUGUGAAAGCCCCCGGCUCAACCGGGGAGGGUCAUUGGAAACUGGGAAACUUGAGUGCAGAAGAGGAGAGUGGAAUUCCACGUGUAGCGGUGAAAUGCGUAGAGAUGUGGAGGAACACCAGUGGCGAAGGCGACUCUCUGGUCUGUAACUGACGCUGAGGAGCGAAAGCGGGG